GACGAACGCUGGCGGCGUGCUUAACACAUGCAAGUCGAACGGGAUCCAAAGGCUUUUUGUUUUUGGUGAGAGUGGCGAACGGGUGAGUAACACGUGAGUAACCUGCCCCCUUCUUUUGGAUAACCGCAUGAAAGUGUGGCUAAUACAGGAUAUUCCAGGCUGGUCGCAUGAUUGGUUUGGGAAAUGGUUUGGUCUGGUGGGGGAUGGGCUCGCGGCCUAUCAGCUUGUUGGUGGGGUGAUGGCCUACCAAGGCGGUGACGGGUAGCCGGCCUGAGAGGGUGGGCGGUCACACUGGGACUGAGAUACGGCCCAGACUCCUACGGGAGGCAGCAGUGGGGGAUUUUGCACAAUGGGCGCAAGCCGGAUGCAGCGACGCCGCGUGAGGGAUGAAGGCCUUCGGGUUGUAAACCUCUUUCGCUGGGUUGAAAGGCCAUGCUUUGGGUGUGGUUGAUUUGAACUGGUAAAGAAGUACCGGCUAACUACGUG
rnacentral:rRNA from 1 species